GCCUUGCUGAUGUAGCGGUAACAUACCAGUCUUCCAAACUGGGUUCACGAGUUCGAUCCUCGUGCAAGGCUC
rnacentral:tRNA from 1 species